CAAUAGCGUAUAUUAAAGUUGUUGCAGUUAAAAAGCUCGUAGUUGGAUUUCUGUGAGAGUGCCGGUGUCGGCUGAUGCUUGUACGCAGGCGCUCUUACAUCCUUCUGUUAACUGUUCUUGGCAUUUUAUUGCUGGUUCAGGGCUCAGAUAUUUUACCUUGAGAAAAUUAGAGUGUUUCAGGCAGGCUUAUGCCGGAAUACAUUAGCAUGGAAUAGUGGAACAGGACCUGUGCGUCUCUCGGGGCGCCGGUCUCCGUUGUUGGUUUCGGGGACUAAUGUAAUGAUUAAUAGGGAUAGUUGGGGGCAUUAGUAUUUAAUAGUCAGAGGUGGAAUUCUCGGAUUUGUUAAAGACUAACUUAUGCGAAAGCAUUUGCCAAGGAUGUUUUCAUUA
rnacentral:rRNA from 1 species